rnacentral:rRNA from 1 species
ACGAACGCUGGCGGCGUGCUUAACCCAUGCAAGUCGCACGGAAAGGCCCUGCUUUUGUGGGGUGCUCGAGUGGCGAACGGGUGAGUAACACGUGAGUAACCUGCCCUUGACUUUGGGAUAACUUCAGGAAACUGGGGCUAAUACCGGAUAGGAGCUCCUGCUGCAUGGUGGGGGUUGGAAAGUUUCGGCGGUUGGGGAUGGACUCGCGGCUUAUCAGCUUGUUGGUGGGGUAGUGGUUUACCAAGGCUUUGACGGGUAGCCGGCCUGAGAGGGUGACCGGCCACAUUGGGACUGAGAUACGGCCCAGACUCCUACGGGAGGCAGCAGUGGGGAAUAUUGCACAAUGGGCGGAAGCCUGAUGCAGCAACGCCGCGUGCGGGAUGACGGCCUUCGGGUUGUAAACCGCUUUCGCCUGUGACGAAGCGUGAGUGACGGUAAUGGGUAAAGAAGCACCGGCUAACUACGUG